UAUGGUUUAGUGGUAGAAUGCUUGCCUAGCAUGCAUGAAGCCCUGGGUUCAAUUCCUCAGUA
rnacentral:tRNA from 1 species